GACGGAGGAUGCAAGCGUUAUCCGGAAUGAUUGGGCGUAAAGCGUCUGUAGGUGGUUUAUUAAGUCUACUGUUAAAGAUCAGGGCUUAACCCUGAGUCGGCAGUAGAAACUAAUGAGCUUGAGUACGGUAGGGGCAGGAGGGAAUUCCCGGUGUAGCGGUGAAAUGCGUAGAGAUCGGGAAGAACACCAAUGGCGAAAGCACUCUGCUGGGCCGAAACUGACACUCAGAGACGAAAGCUAGGGGAGCGAAUGGG
rnacentral:rRNA from 1 species